rnacentral:rRNA from 1 species
AUACGGAGGGUGCAAGCGUUAUCCGGAUUUAUUGGGUUUAAAGGGUGCGUAGGCGGUUCUUUAAGUCAGUGGUAAAAUCCUAGCGCUCAACGUUAGUCAUGCCAUUGAAACUGGAGAACUUGUGAUAAGUAGAGGUAGGCAGAAUUUAUGGUGUAGCGGUGAAAUGCGCAGAUACCAUAAGGACUCCCAAUAGCGAAGGCCGCUUACUGGGCUUUAUCAGACGCUGAGGCACGAAGGCGUGGGGAGCAAACAGGAUUAGAUACCCCUGUAGUCC